rnacentral:sRNA from 1 species
CGCAAUCCUGCGUAAGGGAUUGAAGUGGAAAUCCUUUUUUAUCUUGUCAUCAGACGAGAUAAAAAAGAUUGCAACGGAAAGCCCGACCUGAA